GGUGGAGAGGUUGCCAUUGGUGUAGCACACUAUUUGCUAGUAUCCAUGCCAACCUGACAUAAUAUAUCUUCUAUAUAUUUCUUCUAAGAUAAAAGGAGUCCUGUAGGAAGUUGUUUCACUUCAAUACCAAGAAAAAUAAUGCAAGGCACCAAGGUCAAGGACUGGAAAAGUGGUUUUAAGUUAUGUUAAAAACCACUCCAAUAUAGCAGAUGUGGAACCUAUAAGUAAUAUAUCAUCGACAUAAAUCAGUACAAAUAGAGAGACAGCACAUUGGCGAUAAAUGAACAAUGAGGUAUCCGCGUUAGAAGCGACAAAGCCAAUGCUAAGAAGAACUGAAGAUAGCCGAUGAAACCAGGCACGAGGAGCCUGUUUUAAGCCAUAGAGCGACUUGUGAAGCUUGCAAACAUAAUCAGGGUGUUGAGCAUCAACAAAUCCCUGUGGCUAAGACAUGUAAAUGUCAUGGUCAAGAAAACCAUGCAAGAAUGCAUUAGAGAUGUCUAAUUCACGAACAGGCCAUCGGUGUAUUACAGCAAUGGAUGGUGUAUUACAGCAAUGGAUAAGACGGUACGAAUUGUAGUCAUCUUGAAAACCGGACUAAAUGUUUCAGCAUAAUCGAUCCCGUCCUGUUGAGUAAAGCCUUUUGCAACUAAUCAGGCUUUAAACCGAUCAACAGAACCAUCGGCAUGUCUUUUGAUUCAAAAAAUCCAUUUGUUACAAACUAUAUUGGUAUUAGAAGGCUUCGGAACCAGACUCCAAGUUAUAUUUUGAACCAAGGCAUUGAUUUCAUCUGACAUUGCAUCACACCAUUAAGAAUAAGAAUAAGCUUGUUUAAAAGUGUGAGGUUCUGUUGAGAGGUAGUCAAUUGUUGUGAAAGCAAGAUUUGCUUGUCUACGACUCAUGGUUGAAUGUCGUAACUGCAUGGAGUAAGUGCAUAAAUUUUGUGGAUUGGGUGUAUUGGAUGUGGUAGUUGGCAGUGGUGGAUAAUUAGAGAGAUCAACACAAAGAUUCAGAGUUGGUGUAGUUGAAGAUAAGAUAUGAUUCAGAGAAAAUAAUGGUAGAGGUUGAGUAGAAGAAGGACUUGGUAUAGUAGUUAGAAGUGGUGGAUUUGAAUUUAACGGAGGGAUAGGAUCAGAUUGUAUUUGAGGUACAGUAGAAGUAGAAGUUAAAUUUAAAAGUGGAAUAGAUGUUGGCUGUUGAGAAGAAGCAGGAUUGGAAUUUUGAAUAGAUAAAAGUGGAUGAGAAAGAGUGUUACCAGAAGAUGAGUCCACAGUUUGAGUAUGACGUUGUAUUCCACAUAAAGUUAGCCAAGGAUUCAUGGUAAGCGGCAUGGAUGAGGCAUGAGAAUUAAAUUUGACCAUGGUUGACUCACUAAACAGAAAUUGACGUGGAUGAAAUUUAACAUGCCGUGCAAUAUAAACAUGACCAGAUGCAGGAUCUAAACAACGAUAGGCAGAGUGAGUUGGACUUUGACCAAGGUACACACAUGGUUGAGUACGAACAACAAUCCAUUAUACACACAACAAUUGUAACGCCCUCACCGUAGCAAAUCCGUACAUUCUACUGAUUCGACAAUUAAUGUCUGUUCGGACAGUCAGAA
rnacentral:misc_RNA from 1 species